AGAGGAGGCGGCUGCCCACAGCAGGGCCGCUCAAGCCACCCCACCCCCAUGCAGCCCACUUGGUGAGUCCCACCUGAAAAGCAUCCCCACUGAGAAAUCUGGACUGGUCAGGUGAAAUACGGCUACCAACCUACCUGGAGUAUUGUAUUCCAUCCACUAACAGUGUGCAGUAGCAUGAUCUCGGCUCCCUGCAACCUCUGCCUCCUGAAUUGAAGUGAUUCUCCUGCCUCAGUCUCCCAAGUAGCUGGGAUUACAGGCGUGCGCCACCACACUCUGAGAAUUUUUGUAUUUUUACUUCUAAAAUUAGGGGUUUCACCACAUUGGCCAGGUAGGUCUCGAACUCCUGACCUCAAGUGAUCCACCCACCUUGGUUUCCCAAAGCGGUGAGAUUACAGGCAUGGCCACUUCGCCUGGCCAAGAAUGCUUUCUGUACGUGGUGCACAAUAUUUGCAGAAGACAAAUGUCUUCUCACCGAACAUGAUGGCUUUAAAGCAUCCAACUGGUGGAGCUAAGGACUGCUGCAAACAUAUUUUAUAGAAAUGCUGUGUGCCUUAAAGUUUUCAGAAGGAAGCGAUGCCUGGGGAUGAAGGAAGGACCUGGAAGAAUGGCUGGGGGACUCCAGUUCUGGCUGAAUGAUGGUUGAUUCGAUGUUACGAAGGCUCCUUCUGACUAAUGCAAUUAAUAUGCUGUCUGGCUUAUGCAUUGUAUGCCAAUGUAUCAGCUAAAUGACACAAAAGUAAGGAAGUCACAAAGCCCCCAAACAGAGGGAAUCCAGGAACCCUGUGAGGUAAGGUGCAUUCACCAUCAGAGUCUCUGCUGCCAGAUUUUGUGAACAAGAGAUGAAACCCAAGGCCCAUCGAAGGCUGGGAAGCUAAUUGGAGACUUUGCAGAUAAAGCUAGCAGUCUAAAGAUAAGUGAGUGUGAAAUAAAUUCAACCAGGCAGAAGAGGACGAUAAGGAAAGUUGUUUCUCUGAAAAAUAAAAAAAUCUCUCAAGAUUCAGAACCAUCAACUAGUCUUUAAAU